rnacentral:rRNA from 1 species
AAUGAACGCUGGCGGCGUGCUUAACACAUGCAAGUCGAACGAGAAAGUUCUUCGGAACGAGUACAGUGGCGAACGGGUGAGAAACGCGUGAGAAUCUGCCCUUUAGUGAAGGAUACCACCGAGAAAUCGGUGUUAAUACUGCAUACGUCCCUUCGGGGAGAAAGGUGGCCUCUUGCUACCGCUAAAGGAUGAGCUCGCGUAUUAUUAGCUAGUUGGUGAGGUAAUGGCUCACCAAGGCUAUGAUGAUUAGCCGACCUGAGAGGGUGAUCGGCCACAUUGGGACUGAGAUACGGCCCAAACUCCUACGGGAGGCUG